UACGUAGGGUGCGAGCGUUGUCCGGAUUUAUUGGGCGUAAAGGGCGCGUAGGCGGCCACGCACGUCCGUUGUGAAAUCGCCCGGCUCAACUGGGCGGGGUCAGCGGAUACGGUGUGGCUAGAGCAAGCUAGGGGGCAAUGGAAUUCCCGGUGUAGUGGUGGAAUGCGUAGAUAGUCGGGAGGAACACCAGUGGCGAAGGCGGUUGCCUGGAGCUUUGCUGACGCUGAUGCGCGAAAGCGUGGGGAGCGAGUCCGG
rnacentral:rRNA from 1 species